AGUGUGGAGUUACCGUCUUACUUGGCCAGUACAUUGGGGGUUAUUGGUCUACAAUACGGACGUGAUAUCUCGAAUAAAGAGCACACGUUGUUUGGAUUAUCAUUUUAGUUCUCGUAGUGAUAAAAACAUCAGCCACACUUCCUCCUGUUAUAUAACCCACAGUGCCACAGGAUGGGUAAGCAUACAUGUACUACUAUAUGAAAAGGACCUCCCCCCUCCUACCGGGGCGAAGCCGGGAAUAGCGGGAUAGAGAUAUUUCUGGAGUUGUAUCGGUUGUAAAUGGAAAUUACAGAAAAAUGGAAAAAUACUUUUUAACUAUCCGUUUUGUAGUUAAGUAGUGUUUAACUUUAACCACGUAAUUAAGUCGGUUGUCAGGGUUUUUCAGGAUUUUCUCUUGGGUCCGUUUUUGCAGAGAAGAUUGAGUUUAGCUGAACAGCUGGGGACUGGAGCAGCUGUGACAGGCUGACUCCUGUACCCAAUAAGUGUAGUUGAGACGCAAUGUGUUAAAGCAGACACUAUAAACUGGUUAAAGAUGGCGAAUGCGUUGUUUUUCUUGUGUUGUGAAAUGAAUUCCAGCCAUUUUUCCUGAUUGUCGGGUUUCCAACUGAAACUAAUUUCCACACGUCACGAAUUUAACUCAAACAACUUCAUUUUUACUGCACUGAAUCUUUUAGUGGGAAGAGUGAGUUUCAAAACUCAAUUCAAGAUUGAGUUUUUGGGGCCGUUUUACGGUCCUAAUACCCUGGGUGCCAGAGGUUCUUCCACGCUCGUAGGGGGGGGGGGAUAAUGAGGGAUACACGAGGAUUCAAGCUAGGAGGCGACGAGCGGGAAGAACCUCUGGAACACUUCUAUGGCUUUUACUGUUUUAACUGUCACAUGUCAAUCAAACGUUAGCGAAUAGGACACGUAUUUAUUUUUAAUUUAAUAGGACACGUAUUUACUGAUGAUGAUUUGGGCGUGUUCAACCGAACAUUUGAGCGAUG